UGCAAAAGGAGUUUGAUGUAUCACAGUGAAGAUGUAAGUUUUUUCCCGGACCAAACGGAUCAUCAGGCUGCUUAUUCUUGUAGCCCAAUAAGGAGAUGCAGAUGAACUGGAAAAGAAAGGAGGUUUUCAUUUUGUGACUGGUUACAGGGAGAAGGCCUGGAAAUUAUCACCUGACCAACUGAAAAUUACAAAGUUUUUCAGAGCUUGUGUAUCUUCUAAGCUACGUGUCUACAUAUUGUUUCUUGAAUGGUAAAGAAAGGAGUGGAACCACAGUUGGAAACUCAGACACUGGAACUGGACAUUGUAGAAGAUGAAUUAUGAGAGUGAUUUAUGAAAGAAAGACAAUGGAGAAUUACAAUCGAUGGAGCCAUUCAAAGAAAAGACUUUGGCACUGCAUCAAAAGACAGUAGAAUAAGUACUCUUUGCUUAUACAUUUUAAAUGAAAAUAAAUGUUUAUAAUACAUAGUUGCUGUUUUUUAAACUGUAAUUCAUUUACUAAGGCUGAAGGGAAGAAUGGAUGUUGGAUAAAGAACUUUCAAUUCUGUCAUUGUUAGUAGUAUUUGUGUGUGUGUGUGUGUGUGUGUGUGUGUGUGUGUGAAUGUUGAGCUUCUCAGUUUCAGUAGUUAGCAGGAAAAAGCACUGAAUCAUGAAGCAUAAACUAUGAAUAUAGCAUCUGUAUGAUAUUCUCUUAAAAAAUGGCAAAACUCUAGCAAACUGUCUUUGGUGCUUGCUUUUUUAGAAUGAUUGGCAUGGGAUCUGAGUCUUAGUUUCACCUUUUAUGAUUGCUUUUUACUGCAUCAAAUAUUUGACCAGGCAAAGUACAUUUCAAUGAACAGCUUUACUCCCCUUUAAAAGAAACUGAAAGUCCAGCUGAAACUCCUCAUCAAGUUAACUGGGAUCAUGGUGUUCAUUUUGGAUGAGGCAAUGUACUAAUUCACUAAGUCAACUCAACUUGACAUUUCUGGGUUAGUGUAUCUUCCUUAAAAGUUAUGCAAUAAGUUGGAAUUAAAGUGCUCUGCUUGCUUUUGAUAAGACUGAUCAAAAGAGUGAUAGGAAUAAUCACUACUUAGAAUCCUAUAUAAUAAGUACUUUCAAUUUAUCUAACUCUAAGGAGAAUUUAGACUAUUUGUCUAGUGAAAUCCAUUUGAUACCAGGAUUUGUUAUGGCCACUCUACAAUCAGGUGUUCCUAAUAUAAUGAAUGAGAUAAAAAAAAUGAAGCUAACAUUUAAAUGAUGUUACUUCCAGAAACUGUUAUUAUGCAUUAUUAACUCACUUAAUCCUCCUUAUCGCUUUAGGGGGUAGAUACUAUUAUUAUUCCUUUUGUUUUCAGAUGAGGAAACUAGGGCACAAAUAAAUUAAAGAACUUAUCCAAGGUCAUACAGCUGGAAAGAAGUGGAUUUGGGAUUGUGAAUGUCACAAUUUCACAAACUGCAUUUCACCAUGGGUAGAGCUAGUCAAACGUCUGAACAUAAAGCUUGGUUUAAAGAUGACCAUCAUCUUAUGUUUGUUGUAGAACUAUUCACAAUAGCAAAGACUUGGAACCAACCCAAAUGUCCAUCAAUGACAGACUGGAUUAAGAAAA